GGGGAAUUUUCCGCAAUGGGGGAAACCCUGAUGCAGCAACGCCGCGUGAGUGAAGAAGGCCUUGCGGUCGUAAAGCUCUUUCGCUAGGGAACAAGGGUUUUUGGAUUAAGAGUCGAGGAACUUGACGGUACCUAGAUAAGAAGCACCGGCUAAUUUCGUGCCAGCAGCCGCGGUAAUACGAAAGGUGCGAGCGUUGUUCGGAUUGACUGGGCGUAAAGCGCAUGUAGGCGGGCUUGUCAGUUAGAUGUGAAAGCCCCGGGCUCAACCUGGGAAUGGCAUCUAAUACUGCAAGCCUUGAAUAUCUGAGAGGUUAUCGGAAUUCCAGGUGUAGCAGUGAAAUGCGUAGAUAUCUGGAGGAACACCAGAGGCGAAGGCGGAUAACUGGCAGCAUAUUGACGCUCAGAUGCGAAAGCGUGGGGAGCGAACAGGAUUAGAUACCCUGGUAGUCCACGCCCUAAACGAUGAAUACUAGCCGUUCGGAAAUAUCCAUUUCUGAGUGGCGCAGCUAACGCGUUAAGUAUUCCGCCUGGGGAGUACACUGGCAACGGUGAAACUCAAAGGAAUUGACGGGGGCCCGCACAAGCGGUGGAGUAUGUGGUUUAAUUCGAAGCAACGCGAAGAACCUUACCUGGCCUUGACAUCCCGGGAUCCUACCAGAGAUGGUAGUUUCUCUUCGGAGACUCGGUGACAGAUGCUGCAUGGCUGUCGUCAGCUCGUGUUGUGAAAUGUUCGGUUAAGUCCGGCAACGAGCGCAACCCUUGUUCUCAGUUGCUACCAUUAAGUUGGGCACUCUGAGGAGACUGCCGGUGAUAAGCCGGAGGAAGGCUGGGAUGACGUCAAGUCCUCAUGGCUCUUACGGCCAGGGCUACACACGUACUACAAUGGCAGAAACAAACGGAAGCGAGACCGCGAGGUGGAGCGGAUCCGUAAAACACUGUCUCAGUUCGGAUUGGAGUCUGCAAUUCGACUCCAUGAAGUCGGAAUCGCUAGUAAUCGCAGAUCAGCAAGCUGCGGUGAAUACGUUCCCGGGCCUUGUACACACCGCCCGU
rnacentral:rRNA from 1 species